rnacentral:rRNA from 1 species
AUGAACGCUGGCGGCGUGCCUAAUACAUGCAAGUCGAGCGAACAGACGAGGAGCUUGCUCCUCUGACGUUAGCGGCGGACGGGUGAGUAACACGUGGAUAACCUACCUAUAAGACUGGGAUAACUUCGGGAAACCGGAGCUAAUACCGGAUAAUAUAUUGAACCGCAUGGUUCAAUAGUGAAAGACGGUUUUGCUGUCACUUAUAGAUGGAUCCGCGCCGCAUUAGCUAGUUGGUAAGGUAACGGCUUACCAAGGCAACGAUGCGUAGCCGACCUGAGAGGGUGAUCGGCCACACUGGAACUGAGACACGGUCCAGACUCCGACGGGAGGCAGCAGUAGGGAAUCUUCCGCAAUGGGCGAAAGCCUGACGGAGCAACGCCGCGUGAGUGAUGAAGGUCUUCGGAUCGUAAAACUCUGUUAUUAGGGAAGAACAAAUGUGUAAGUAACUAUGCACGUCUUGACGGUACCUAAUCAGAAAGCCACGGCUAACUACGU